AGUUAGUCGGGAGCUAAGGUGAGGCCGGAAGGCGUAGCCGAUGCACAGACGGUAGAGAUUCCGUCACCACCAAAAGAGUUAAGCACAGGGACACAUUUGAAGUCUCAGAGCCGGGUGUUGGUUCCGGUAGAGAUCGAGGGAAGUUAGUACCGAAGUCUGGGAUGGAAGAUGGCGAGAAAAGCUGUGUGUAUUUCUGAGGUGCUCGUACCGCAAACCGACACAGGUAGGUAGGAAGAAGAUUCUAAGGCCAACGGGAGAAGGGUUGUUAAGGAACUCGGCAAAUUGACCCCGUAACUUCGGGAGAAGGGGUGCUCCAGAGAUGGAGCCGCAGAGAAUCGGCCCAAGCAACUGUUUACCAAAAACACAGGUUUGUGCUAAAUCGAAAGAUGACGUAUACGAGCCGACGCCUGCCCGGUGCUGGAAGGUUAAGAGGAGAUGUGCAAGCAUUGAAUCGAAGCCCCAGUGAACGGCGGCCGUAACAAUAACGGUCCUAAGGUAGCGAAAUUCCUUGUCAGGUAAGUUCUGACCCGCAUGAAAGGCGUAAUGAUUUGGGCACUGUCUCAACAGCCCGCCCGGCGAAAUUGUAGUACCGGUGAAGAUGCCGGUUACCCGCGACAAGUCGGAAAGACCCCAUGGAGCUUUACUGUAGCCCAAUAUUGGGUUUCGAUGUUGCAUGCACAGGAUAGAUGGGACACUAGGAAACAAUCGCUUUGGCGGUUGCGGAGUGGCCGUUGGGAUACCAUCCUUGCGAUAUUGGAAUUCUAACCUGCGGCUCUGAAUCGAGUCGGGGGACAUUGUUAGGUGGGCAGUUUGACUGGGGCGGUCGCCUCCUAAAAAGUAACGGAGGCGUUCAAAGGUUCGCUCAGCUUGAACGGAAAUCAAGCAAAAGAGUGCAAACGCAGAAGCGAGCCUAACUGCGAGACUGACGGGUCGAGCAGUAACGAAAGUUGGAGUUAGUGAUCCGGUGGUAUGUGAGUGGAAAUGCCAUCGCUCAACGGAUAAAAGUUACCCUGGGGAUAACAGGCUGAUCUCCCCCAAGAGUCCACAUCGACGGGGAGGUUUGGCACCUCGAUGUCGGCUCAUCGCAUCCUGGGGCUGUAUUCGGUCCCAAGGGUUUGGCUGUUCGCCAAUUAAAGCGGUACGCGAGCUGGGUUCAGAACGUCGUGAGACAGUUCGGUCCCUAUCUGUCGUGGGCGCAGGAUAUUUGAUGGGAGCUGUCCCUAGUACGAGAGGACCGGGACGGACGUACCUCUGGCGCACCAGUUGUUCCGCCAGGAGCAUAGCUGGGCAACUACGUACGGAUCGGAUAAACGCUGAAAGCAUCUAAGCGUGAAGCCGACCCAAAGAUAAGAUGUCCCAUUGUUUUAAACAAGUAAGACCCCUUGAAGACUACAAGGUUGAUAGGCACGAUGUGUAAGUGGAGUGAUCCAUUCAGCAAGCGUGUACUAAUAGGUCGAGGGCUUGAUC
rnacentral:rRNA from 1 species